rnacentral:rRNA from 1 species
AACGAACGCUGGCGGCAUGCCUAACACAUGCAAGUCGAACGAGACCUUCGGGUCUAGUGGCGCACGGGUGCGUAACGCGUGGGAAGCUGCCCUUAGGUUCGGAAUAACUCUCCGAAAGGGGUGCUAAUACCGGAUAAUUUCUUCUGACCAAAGAUUUAUCGCCUUUGGAUGGGCACGCGUUGUUUUAGCUUGUUGGUAGGGUAAAAGCCUACCAAGGCGACGAUCCAUAGCUGGUCUGAGAGGAUGAUCAGCCACACUGGGACUGAGACACGGCCCAGACUCCUACGGGAGGCAGCAGUGGGGAAUAUUGGACAAUGGGCGAAAGCCUGAUCCAGCAAUGCCGCGUGAGUGAUGAAGGCCUUAGGGUUGUAAAGCUCUUUUACCCGGGAUGAUAAUGACAGUACCGGGAGAAUAAGCUCCGGCUAACUCCGUG